AUUGUAAAUCUAGCCAAACACUCAACACCCCCCCCCCCACCACCAAACCAUUUAUAUAUGUAAGUAUGGGCGAUAGAAAACCUGUGUGCGCAAUAAAUAAAGUACUGCAAAGGAAAUAUGAAAUAGAAAUUAAAUAAACCAUAAAAAUAUUACAAAGCAAAGAUAAACACCAGUACCUUUUGCAUCAUGGCCUAGCAAGUCUUUUCCAACAAAAAGAAUUUUAAUCGGAAGCCCCGAAACCAGACGAGCUACCUUAAGACACAAUACGAGUAACCCCCUCUCUGUGGCAAAAUAGAGGAAAGAUCUUGAGGUAGUAGGUGACAAGCCUAACGAGCCUGGAUAUAGCUGGUUACUUGAAAAGUGAAUUUAAGUUCAAUUAAAGGAAGACUUACCAGUAAGGAAAACCUACGCCUUUAUUAUAACCAAUCAGGGUACAGCCUGGUUAGUACGGGAAACAACCCACAUAAAUGAAAAAUGAUUAUAUACAACUAAGAAUAUAUAGCCCAGUAGGCUUAAAAGCAGCCAUCAUUAUAACAUCGUCAAAGAUUAACUCAUGUAUAUUCUACUAUCUCAAUAAAUAAUCUGAAUUCAACCACCCAAUCAAGUCAAUCUAUUAAUAGAUAAGUUAUUUCUAGGAUGAGUAAUAAGGACAGCCUCUAUAAUACAAGUGUAAGUCAGAACGGACACACCACUGACAGUUAACGAAUGCUUAUAAUAUAUAACCAAGAAUAUAGAUUUUUUUAGCCGUUAAUCCAACACAGGGGUAUUAAAGAAAGACUAAAAGUAUGGAAAGGAACUCGGCAAACCAGGCUUCGCCUGUUUACCAAAAACAUCGCCUUUUGACUUAUCAACAUAAAAGGUCCUGCCUGCCCAGUGACACCUGUUCAACGGCCGCGGUAUUAUGACCGUGCAAAGGUAGCGUAAUCACUUGUCCUUUAAAUAAAGACCGGUAUGAACGGCAAGACGAGAGCCUAACUGUCUCUCCAUAUUAGUCAAUGAAAUUGAUUUUUCCGUGCAAAAGCGGAAAUAUUGUUAUAAGACGAGAAGACCCUGUGGAGCUUUAAGUCAAAACUAACUAUUUAAUAUAGCAUAACCAAAGACUUUAGGUUGGGGCGACCACGAGGUAUAAUAAAACCCUCAAGAUAAAACCAUAGAGGGACACUUCAAAUAAACAAGAUAUUGAUAUAUUGACCCAAAAAUUGAUCAACGAACCAAGUUACCCCAGGGAUAACAGCGCAAUCCACUCAAAGAGUCCUUAUCGACGAGCGGGUUUACGACCUCGAUGUUGGAUCAGGACCCCCAAAUAAUGUAACAAUUAUUAAAGGUUCGUUUGUUCAACGAUUAAAGUCCUACGUGAUCUGAGUUCAGACCGGAGCAAUCCAGGUCAGUUUCUAUCUAUAACUUAACUUUUCUAGUACGAAAGGACCGAAAAGAUGAGGCCCAUAAACAAUCUAAGCCUUCCCAACAACCUCUGAAUAAAAAUAAAGAGGGCUGGUGGGAAAUAAAAAAGUCUAAUACGACUU
rnacentral:rRNA from 1 species